UACAGAGGGGGCAAGCGUUGUUCGGAAUUACUGGGCGUAAAGGGCGCGUAGGCGGCCUUCUAAGUCGAACGUGAAAUCCCCGGGCUCAACCCGGGAACUGCGUCCGAUACUGGAAGGCUUGAAUCCGGGAGAGGGAUGCGGAAUUCCAGGUGUAGCGGUGAAAUGCGUAGAUAUCUGGAGGAACACCGGUGGCGAAGGCGGCAUCCUGGACCGGCAUUGACGCGUGAGGCGCGAAAGCCA
rnacentral:rRNA from 1 species